AGAAUCAACGCUGGCGGCGUGCCUAACACAUGCAAGUCGAACGAGAAAGUGGAGCAAUCCAUGAGUAAAGUGGCGCACGGGUGAGUAACACGUGACUAACCUACCCUUGAGUGGGGAAUAACCUCGGGAAACCGGGGCUAAUACCGCAUAACACCUACGGGUCAAAGGAGCAAUUCGCUUAAGGAGGGGGUCGCGGCAGAUUAGUUAGUUGGCGGGGUAAUGGCCCACCAAGACGGUGAUCUGUAUCCGGCCUGAGAGGGCGCACGGACACACUGGAACUGAAACACGGUCCAGACUCCUACGGGAGGCAGCAGUGGGGAAUUUUGCGCAAUGGGGGAAACCCUGACGCAGCAACGCCGCGUGGAGGAUGAAGUCCCUUGGGACGUAACUCCUUUCGAUCGGGACGAUUAUGACGGUACCGGAAGAAGAAGCCCCGGCUAACUUCGUGCCAGCAGCCGC
rnacentral:rRNA from 1 species